GGUGGGGAUAUCGUAAAAGAAUAAAGGCUAAAACAGUGACACUUGAAAUAUUUUACUCUGUUAAUGGCGGAUGCCAAAAUAUCUCUCUCUCCAUUUUCUCUCAUUGUUGUAGCACUGUUCAACUCCACUUGUUUAUACUCUAAUUUCUUUUUCCCCCUUCAUUGGCCUUGACGUUUUCCCCUUCGAACAAAACCUCCCCUCUUAUCGCAUUUCUCCUUCUUUCUUCGACCCAUUUUGCCAUUUUCUCGCUUUGCCUCUUCACUUUUCUCAUUUUCUAUCAAUUUCAGCUUCACCCAUCACCUUUAACCCUAAAUCCUGCUUACCCAUCUGCCUCCAAUGGCAUCUCACUAUGAAAAAAACCAUCUUCCCCCUGAUUCUACCCCCCAUCUCAACGGUGAUGCCAAUACCCACUUGCCCAAAAGGCCUAAAAUCUCCCCCACUUCCAUUUCUGACUCAGAAAUUCAAUCCGAGUUUGCCCACCAUGACCUUUCUGUUGCUCGGAUCAACAAUGGCAGCUUUGGCUGUUGCCCUUCUUCUGUCAUCUCUGCUCAACAGCAAUGGCAGCUUAAGUUCCUUCGCCAGCCUGAUUACUUCUAUUUCAACGAGCUCAAGAAGGGGAUUCUUGAAUCGAGAACCAUCAUUAAGGAUUUAAUCAAUGCCGAGCAUAUUGAUGAAGUUUCUAUUGUUGAUAACGCCACCACUGCGGCUGCUAUAGUUCUGCAGAAAAUCGCUAGGGAUUUUGCCGAGGGGAGAUUCGAGAAGGGUGAUGCGGCGGUUAUGCUUCACUAUGCGUAUGGUGCCGUGAAGAAGUCAAUAGAGGCGUAUGUUUCUCGAGCUGGUGGGUAUGUAAUUGAGGUUCAAUUGCCUUUUCCUGUUAAGUCUAAUGAUGAAAUUAUAUGUGAAUUUCGUAAGGCGUUGGAGAGAGGAAAGGCUAAUGGUAGGAAGGUUCGUUUGGCUGUGAUUGAUCAUAUUACAUCCAUGCCUUGUGUGGUUAUACCGGUUAAGGAGUUAGUUGAGAUUUGUAGGGAAGAAGGUGUUGAUCAAGUUUUUGUUGAUGCUGCUCAUGCUAUUGGAUGUACUGAUAUUGAUAUGCAAGAGAUUGGUGCUGAUUAUUACACUAGUAAUUUGCAUAAGUGGUUCUUUUGUCCACCUUCAAUUGCUUUCUUGUAUUCCAGGAGGUCCCCAAGUCAUUCUGAUUUGCAUCAUCCUGUUGUUUCUCAUGAGUAUGGUAAUGGGUUGGCCAUAGAAAGUGCUUGGAUUGGAACCAGGGAUUAUAGUUCACAGUUGGUGGUGCCUUCGGUUUUGAAAUUUGUUAAUAGGUUUGAAGAUGGGAUUAAGGGAAUCAAAAGGCGGAAUCAUGAGGCUGUUGUUAAGAUGGGAGAGAUGUUGGCAGAAUCAUGGAAGACUCAUCUUGGUUGCCCACCGAAUAUGUGUGCAAGUAUGGUCAUGGUGGGGCUGCCUUCAUGCUUGGGCAUCUCAAGUGAAUCUGAUACUCUGAAGUUGAGAACGCAUUUACGGGAAGAAUUUAGAGUUGAAGUCCCGAUAUAUUAUCGUGCUCCGAGAAAGGGGGAAACUGCCCCUAUAACCGGGUAUGCACGGAUUUCUCAUCAAGUGUACAACAAAUUUGAAGAUUAUGUUAAGUUUAGAGACGUAAUCAACGAACUUGUGCGAGCCGGCUUCACCUGCGCUCAACUCUCCAAAUGAGGACGGAGGAGUGUUGCAUCUUUGGUUCAGCAUUCGGGUUGGGAGUCGAUGUUGUGAUAAAGUUACUCGAUAUUUGUGGUUCUCCAUCUGAUAAAAUGAAUAUUUCUGCUAUCAAACAUCAAUGAUUAUGAAAAUUGCACACGAUGGUUCUCGUCUGCUGCAUAGCCAUGGUUUCGGUACCACGGCCAUACCCCCAAAACACUUCAAAGGUUGGUGUACCAAGCAGAAAUAAUGUCAUUAUCUUUUUAAUGACUUGAAAUGAAAGUCCUCGAGUACAGCUUAACUUGUGUAUCAGGCUUCUUGAUCAGAAUAGGACUUGUACAUAUUUGAUCCUUAUUUAACUAUCGAAUGAAGUACCGUUUUCAUCGUCCGAGUAAAAGUCAUGCAAUGUUGAGACUGGACUGUAACUUUAGUAGUUGUCGAGCUAUGGAAUUUCCGUGCAGCAAGUGCUUUUGUAUUCUCCAUUACAAAUGACUGCAGAUUUUGAUGAGUUGCAGUUUCAUAUGAUCUAAUUCCCUUGUAUUUCCAGCUGAUGAUGUGAUAUCUCAUUCUUUAAUAAUUGAUGAGAUUAGUUCAA